UACGGGGGGGGCAAGCGUUGUUCGGAAUUACUGGGCGUAAAGGGCUCGUAGGCGGCCAACUAAGUCAGACGUGAAAUCCCCAGGCUCAACCUGGGAACUGCGUCUGAUACUGGAUGGCUUGAAUUCGGGAGAGGGAUGCAGAAUUCCAGGUGUAGCAGUGAAAUGCGUAGAUAUCAGGAGGAAUACCGAUGGCGAAGGCAGGUCUCUGGGCUGACACUGACGCUCAUGCACGAAAGCGUGGGGAGCAAACAGG
rnacentral:rRNA from 1 species